CACUUCUUGCAGUGAGGUAGGAACCUGUCAAAGCUUGGAAGGCCAUCUUAAAGAUGAACACAUUGAGUUUCUGUGAUGGCCUGGUAGCCUUUGGACAUCAGACUUGUCUGUUUUCUGCUCUAGAAUUGGCCUGCUCUGUGACUUCAGAUGUUCUUUCUGCUGGCUUUGAUGAAGAAAGCUGCCAUGCUGAAGAGGCUCAUGUAACAAGGAACUGAGAGUGGCCUCCAGGCAACAGCCAGCAAAGAACUGAAGCUCUCCACCCAACAGCCCUUGAGGAAUGGUAUCCUGCCUUCAGGCGAGACUCUAGCACUUCAUUGCACACAGCCAUGUCAGAGACCAAAGACCCUAAGGUAGAGCUUCCAACAAAGUGCGCUGGAUUUCUGUGGAUUCCUGAUGCACAGAAACUGUGCAAAAAUAAUUAUGCAUUGUUUUAAGCUGAUAAGUUUUGGAGGUAAUUUGUUAAUGCAGCAGUGGGUAACUAAUACGUCAUGUAUUUACCAAUUUUAGUUUAAUCACUUUAUGUACUUUAUUGUGUAGCCGAAAAAUAGUAGGAGCAGCAUCAUACACAUAGCAAGCAGCAAGAAUAUAGCUGAAUUUAAAAGAAAUAAUCCACAAAUUACCAAGAUCAAUCACAAGGAUGCAAGACACGGCAAUCAGAGGUUAUUUAGUGGAGAGGCAAACCGUUUUGGAGAACUCAAACAACUUUGAAUUCAACUGUUUUGCCAUUCAGUUCAAUGUAGCUCAUAAUAGUCUCUACUUCUCUUAUCCUAGCACUUAGUUCAGUGGGAUUCCUUGUUUAAUUAUCUCUCUUCUUCACCAGAACACAGGUUUAAUAAGGACAGGGUCUCUGUCUCUUUCAAUCACCAUUAUAGUGCUCAUACCUGGCAUAGUUCUUGGCACAUAUUAGCCUUCCACUAAGCAUUUGUUGAAUGAAUAGACGUUAGUGUUUCAGUGAAUGUCAAUAAGUCACAAAAUAUUGCUAUACAUUUUAGAAAAAUAAGCACAAGAAAUAGUUAUAAUAAAUAUUUUCUUAGCGCUUACAGGAAGUAAGUCUUAGUAUCUGGCCAGUUCACUCAUUUAGGGCAUCUAAUUCCCUGACAAUGCCAGUUAAAUGGAACAUUACUGUAAUAGGUACCAUUAAUUAUUCAUUGCAAACACAGUGUGCAAGGUCAAAUGAAAUCUGAUGGAAAAUCUCACCAUUGUGGAAAAAUCACUUGCUGAUUAUUAUCACAACUUUUACUGCUGCAGAAUAGAGCUUAUCUCCUUCCAGUGUGUUCUAUGGGGACCAUAGCCACUAAGUUCAUCUCAAGGAAAGUAAGGCAAUUUUAUUUUAUCUGAUUGCACAUUUCUCUGCUGCUAGGAAUUUCUUUAAUCUUGUAAAUUAUAUACAUAAUAUAUAUGCUUUAUAAGAUUACAGAAAUUUAAUCUUUAUGUUAUAUAUUACAUAUAUUUUUUACAAGAUUAAGGAAAUUUUAUGAGUAAGGAAAUCUAAUAUAUAAUUUACAUAUUAUAUAUAUGUUAGGAUUAAAGAAAUUUAAUAAAUUUCCUUUAUAUAUAUAAUUUAUAAGAUUAAGGAAGUUUAUAAGAUUAAGGACUUA
rnacentral:lncRNA from 1 species